rnacentral:tRNA from 1 species
GGAGAGGAUAUAGCUCAGUGGUAAAGUGCAUGCUUAGCAUGCAUGAGGUCCUGGGUUCAAUCCCCAGUACCUCCA